rfam:Capsicum annuum cultivar Zunla-1 unplaced genomic scaffold scaffold603, whole genome shotgun sequence
AUAUCAUGAUUUGGGAAUUGCAUCAAUUUAUCAUUAAAUCUUUGUAAAACUUCAUAUAAGGGUUCACCACUAAGUUAGUGAAAAUUUGUAAUCUCAUCCCUUAGUUG